rnacentral:rRNA from 1 species
CGCGCAGGCGGUCUCUUAAGUCUGAUGUGAAAGCCCCCGGCUCAACCGGGGAGGGUCAUUGGAAACUGGGAGACUUGAGGACAGAAGAGGAGAGUGGAAUUCCAAGUGUAGCGGUGAAAUGCGUAGAUAUUUGGAGGAACACCAGUGGCGAAGGCGGCUCUCUGGUCUGUUACUGACGCUGAGGCGCGAAAGCGUGGGGAGCAAACA